UUUAUAAAUUCUAGUUAUUUAAUAUUUGGUUUUGAGAUAUAAAAAUUUUAGUAAGUUUUUUGAAUUAAAUUUUAUACUAUAGGAGAUUAGUACUGUAAAGGAAAGUUGAAAUAUUUGAAAUAUUUUAUAUGAUAAAAGAACUUUUUAUUAAGGUACCUUUUGUAUCAGGGAUUAUCAAAAUUAUAUUAUAAAUAUAUAUUCUCGAAAAUAAAAGAUCUAAAUAUAUUUUUUAGUUUUUGUAGUAAAAAAAUUAAUUAAUUAUGUUUCGGAGAGAAAUUUUAUUCGUUUUUAUUGUUAUCUAGUAGCUUUUUAAAUAAAUUCAGUUUAAUUAUACAAGAAUUUUAUUUUUUUAAAGUAAAUUUUUAAGUAUAAUUUAAUUUUUUUGGGAUGAGCUAAAAAAAUUUUUAGAAAUAUUAAUAAGUUAUUUUUUUAUUUUAGGCUUGGAAUUAGCCAUAAAAUUUUGUUAUUAAUAAUUAAUUGAUGUAAAAGAUUUAUAGAUUAUUCUAGUUAAAAAAGAGCUUUAAAUUUAAAUUUUAAAUGUUAAGAAAAAAUGAUAGUAUAAGUAGAUUUUUAUUUUAGGUUAAAAAAUUGAAUUAAAUCAAUUUUGUUUAAUUUUAAAGUUUUAAAAGAAGAAUUCGGCAAAAAUUAUUUUCGAAUGUUUAACAAAAACAUUUCUUUCUGUAAAAGAAGGUAAGGCCUGCUCACUGAUAAUAUUAAAGAGCCGCAGUAUUUUGACUGUGCUAAGGUAGCAUAAUCAUUUGUCUUUUAAUUGAGGACUGGUAUGAAUGGUUUAACGAAAAAUAGUCUUUUUUUUUUAUAUAAAUUGAAUUUAAAUUUUUAGUGAAAAUGCUAAAAUAAUUCAAAAAGACGAGAAGACCCCUUAGAGUUUUAUAUUAAACUUAUUUUUAUUUAUUAUUUUUUUAAGGUAUAAAAUAAGGUAAAUAUUUUGUUGGGGCGACAUUAAGAUAAAAUUAACUCUUAUUAUUUUAAACCUUUAUAAAGGGAAUUAGUGAUCCUUUAAAAAGAGAUUAAAAGAAAAAAUUACCUAGGGGAUAACAGCGUAAUCUUUUUUGAGAGUUCAAAUCGACAAAAAGGUUUGCGACCUCGAUGUUGGACUAAAAUUAAUACAUGGUGUAGUAGCUAUGUUUUAGGGUCUGUUCGACCCGUAAUAUUUUACAUGAUCUGAGUUCAGACCGGCGUAAGCCAGGUUGGUUUCUAUCUUUUGAAGAUUAUAUUUUAACUUAGUACGAAAGGAUUGGUUAAGAGUAAUACUUAUAAUAAUAAUGAGGCUAAAU
rnacentral:rRNA from 1 species